CCGGACCGGCUCGUACAACCCGAAUCGCGCAAAGCGAGACGAGACGGUUGAUGCCGCCGAGGAGAAGGAAGCAAGAAGCCCUGCUCCUCUGUUUUGUCUCUGCUGCGGCGGGGUCCGUGGAGCCCAGAGUGCGGUGUUCCCUUGUGACCGCGAGAGGACGGCCAUGCUUGUCCGCAUGGCUGUGGGGGUCAUGACCAGUGCCAGCAAACAGUGGUUGUCUCUGUUCCGUCUCAAGCUCGGAGGGGAAGCACGGAGAGAAAAUAAAGAUAAGUGUCGCCUAACAUGUCUGCUGUGUAUCAGAUGUCAUGUGCCGGUGAAUACGUCACCGAAGACAAAAGCUUGGAUGCGAUAAUAUUAAUGCUAUUUUAUGUUGUGCAGAAGAAGAAGAAGCAAGUAGGCAGAACAACAAGUACGGAGAGGUUGAUGCUUCCACAUCCAUCGCAGUUUGUUCCUUGAUGGUGGGUUUGGUAUUUAAGCUUAAAAAACAUCAGAUAUGAUUCUAACUUGUUGGCCCUAAAAAUGGUCUUUUUACCUUUUUUUUUCUUGAAGGACAUGUUUGGUUCUCACACAAGCAGAGAAGAAAUAGUAAACGCAUCUAAUAGAAAUGGGAGAAGACCUCCUCGGUUGCAAGAAAGAAUUUUUAGCAAUGAGAAUUGCAACUCCAAGAUUCACUUGUAUGUAUAACCUUUCCUAUGCUACAACAUAUAUGGAUAUAUAAUGUGUUCUAAAAUAUCCAUCUACGUCAGCCAUAAAAUGAUAUUGGCACCAAUCUAGAACAAUGAUAAAGAUGCUUUGGAGAUUCCAAACUCAUGUGCAAGUAGCUAAUAAUAUCACUCACAGGCAUGCUUGGGAUUGAGAAGAAGAAGAAGAAGAAGAAGAGUAUAAGAAAAGGUGCUAGUGAUUAUAAUAUCAUCAAAUUUAUGGUCCACGCUUUAAUGGUUGUAUCAUAAAAUAAAAUAAAAAAUGCAUGCCAUGGUAGUACAGAUUUGGGAUCCUUGGUGAACUUUAAAAUGCAGUUGAUAAUAAUGCCAUUAAAGUGUUUACAUUUGUAUGUACCCUUCAUUUUAGAAACAUAAACAAGAAAAGAGAGUACCACAUAAUUCAAUUAUUUUAAUAGAAAGUUACAUAUAGCUUAACUAGGAGGGUUGAUGCAUGAACUUCUUGGAACUUCACCAGGAAGCUUCCUCUAAGCACCUUCUUAACAGCAUUAAGUAUGAAGCCUUUGAUUCUUGUGCAUGAAUGGUUGAUAAAUAUAUAUUAGAGAGGCCAUAUCCCCUUUAGGAUCUUCAAGGAAUCUUAAUCAGAGAGGUGUACAGCUAGUUUGAUGCUGGAAGAAUGUGAACCACCUAAAUCUCUUAAUGUUAGCUUUUGCUUGCAUUAUUCUACUGCACCUCAUAUAUUAUAGGUUCAGAUCAUCCCAAUACAUUAUGUUGGUGCUCAUACUAAAACCUUCUUUCAGUUUCUUUUUCAUCUCACAAGUAAUUUCUCAAACUAAAAGACAUAUUGCUGAAAUUAGGGAUGGAUCUUACAAGCAAGGACAAUUGCUGUUGCCAAUAGUAAGGUGUAGAGAGUCCCUUGGCAUGACAACUUAGUCGAUAAAUGCUUCGCAUCCUCUGAACAUGCCCUUGUUAACAUCUAAUGUCGAGCAUCAAAGGCUUACUAUCCACCAAAAAAUGUUUCUUUGAUGUGAUGUUUUAGCUAAUGCCACGGAUAUGUAUGAGUUUACAACCACAAAUUGCAGUACUUUUGCUGGUACAAAGUAUCGAACAUGUCACAUGGAGUUCAGUGUUCUGUUGCAGACAUAAGGUAGGUAUGUGCAGUGAGUUGAUCUACAUGGUUGGGUGUUGAUAAGGUCAAUCAGUGGCUUCUUGACCUGUACCAGCUGUUUUGAUCGCAACGUUUCUACCCCAUCUAUCAAACACACUCUGUUGCUGCAGUCCAUUUUGGCAGUAUUAUUUACUCAUUUUUUCUCUCUUUUUGCUCAUAUAUUUAUCUGUUCUGUAGUUUUAACUCUACCCCACAAGCCUCCCACAUUUCCAUGAGCAUUUUUUCUAUCUGCCACUUGUACAAUUCAUUUUGAUUUCUUUAAAGGCAUCCGUUCUGUCAAGAACAUGGUUUUGGUGCAACAGUGGCUACAAGAACAAGAAAAAGGAAAAAAGAAUUCACAACCAACAUCAGAUGCCUAAAAGAUUAUUACAUAUUCUUUGGACAGCUACAGCACCACAAAGCAGAUGCCAUGUGAGUUUGACCAUGCACUGUUCUUGCCUCUGGGGACACCAUCGCCAUCCCCUGCAGCAUGGGUGGCUUCACAGAAUUCAACAACCUCUUUAGUGUACAAUUUUAGAGUGGGGAGGAAGAAAUGAUUGAUUGGAUGGUGAUUGAACUGGCCACCUUCCAAAGGCUUCAAGGGCCGACAUCUUUUUACAGUUGGUUUAGCUUUCGGUAGACAGUAAUAUUCUGCAUGAAGUCAGCGGACAUGCAGUAAGAUUACUCUUGGAAGAUGAUCUUACUGUCUCAGUUCCCUGUCUGCCAUGGUUUCUGCUUAUCUGAAAUAUAUAUUUUUUUUAAUUUUAACUGUAAACAUUUGAAAAUCAUAACCAAUCAUAAAUUAGAUAAACCUCUACUUUCAGUGUUAUGUACUUAUUCUUGAAUCUUCUGUUCUUUGCAGAUAAAAUGGGAGAAAUGAAAGUACUGUUGGAUCAACUUAUGCUUAUGAAUACAAGAAAUUGUAAGUUGAUUGGGUUCCUUGGAUUUUGUUAUGGUGAAUGAGUGGCUCAGAAGACACCACAAGGCAUAGUUUCAGUCCAUCCUUAUCCUGUGCAAUUCAGUUCCCAAAUUUGUGUGUUGUUGCAGUAUGAACCUUCUACUAGUUAAAGAAGCUUGGCAAUCUACACCCAUAUGUGAACCCUUCCCUACCAUUUUCUUAUGUUCAAGACAACUGUGAAAACAAAUUCUUCCUUUUUACUUUUUGGGAAAAAA
rnacentral:lncRNA from 1 species